UCUUCAGAUGAUGAUCCCAAGCCUUCUGGCGACCUGACAGAUUGUAAGGUGCGUUGCCGGUAGGUUUGCCGGUAGACGAGACGUUUGCCGAGGGCUUGUAGCUCAGUUGGUUAGAGCGCGCGCUUGAUAAGCGUGAGGUCGGAGGUUCAAGUCCUCCCAGGCCCACCAAUGUUUGCGUUUAUGACAGAUAUUUAAAUUUAUAUAUUAAAUUUUAUGAAUGAAUAUAUUUGUUUAAAAAGUUUAAGGGGCCAUAGCUCAGCUGGGAGAGCACCUGCUUUGCAAGCAGGGGGUCGUCGGUU
rnacentral:misc_RNA from 1 species